AAGUCGUAACAAGGUUUCCGUAGGUGAACCUGCGGAAGGAUCAUUACCGAGUUAGGGUCUCCUCUGUGAGGCCCGACCUCCCAACCCCGUGUCUAACAAACCUGUUUGUGUUGCUUCGGCGGAACGACAGUGACCUAAUCUCCCCUUCACGGGGGAGACGGUUGUCCGUCGCCGGGGGACUCACGGUCUCACGACCGCCCCUGGAGAGUGUCCGCCGACGGCCCCCAACCAAAAAACUACCAAACCCAAAUUGUGAAAUAAAUUUCUGAAUCAGACCCUUUGAUAUACCAAUCAAAAACAAAACUUUCAACAACGGAUCUCUUGGUUCUG
rnacentral:misc_RNA from 1 species